UACGUAGGGUCCGAGCGUUGUUCGGAAUUACUGGGCGUAAAGCGCACGUAGGCGGAUUGUUAAGUUAGGGGUGAAAUCCCGGGGCUCAACCCCGGAACUGCCUUUAAUACUGGCAAUCUCGAGUCCGAGAGAGGUGAGUGGAAUUCCGAGUGUAGAGGUGAAAUUCGUAGAUAUUCGGAGGAACACCAGUGGCGAAGGCGGCUCACUGGCUCGGUACUGACGCUGAGGUGCGAAAGCGUGGGGAGCAAACAGG
rnacentral:rRNA from 1 species